rnacentral:pre_miRNA from 1 species
CGUCUCAUCAAAGUAGCUGUGCCGACGUGUCGCACUGUUCGUAUCACAGCCAGCUUUGAUGAGGUGGA